GACUGAUUUGCAAUAACGUCAAAAAAUAAUGCCUUGUACUACACAUACAUAAAAAACAAUAUUUUAAAGAUGUGUAAUUUCAAUGAAAUCCACAAAAUCAAAUGUAUUCAAACUUAAGUAUAUACUUCAAAAACUCUUUGAUCAGUAUUGCCAUUCAAAUUCAAUCACCCGCAUUUCCCUACACAUUAAAAAAGAAAUUAAAAAUUAGAGAGAAUCCUUGUUAAACAAAUUGAAUGUAAUCAGAUUUCAUGUUCAUAUGUAAUAGAUAUCAGUGACAAAACAUUAAAAAGAAACCAUGUUCUAACAGAAAAAUGUUAGAAUCAUCUGAUGAACCAUUGUAGAAACAAAGCCAGCGAUGAUAGAAUCAAUGCUCACAAGGAAGAUCAAGCUAAAAAAAUCAAAGACCAAAGAGUUGAUAAGGAUAUGAUGGAUGAGUUGCAACCUGCCUCAAGAAGGAAGACAAUCAAAACCAAACAACCUCAGAAAUCACGCAACAACAUGUUACUGGCAGCAACAUGUAACUGGCAGCAACAAGGAAGGCAAAAUGCAAGGUCAUCUGAUGAACCAUUAUAGAAACAAAGCCAAUGAUAAUAUAAUCAAUGCUCAAAAGGAAGAACAAGCUAAAAAAGUCAAAGACCAAAGAGUUGAUAAGGAUAUGAUGGAUGGCAUUCAACAUGUAUCGAGAAGGAAGACAAUCAAAACCAAACAACCUCAGAAAUCACGCAACAACAUGUUACUGGCAGCAACAUGUAACUGGCAGCAACAAGGAAGGCAAAAUGCAAGGUCAUCUGAUGAACCAUUAUAGAAACAAAGCCAAUGAUAAUAUAAUCAAUGCUCAAAAGGAAGAACAAGCUAAAAAAGUCAAAGACCAAAGAGUUGAUAAGGAUAUGAUGGAUGAGUUGCAACCUGCCUCAAGAAGGAAGACAAUCAAAACCAAACAACCUCAGAAAUCACGCAACAACAUGUUACUGGCAGCAACAUGUAACUGGCAGCAACAAGGAAGGCAAAAUGCAAGGUCAUCUGAUGAACCAUUAUAGAAACAAAGCCAAUGAUAAUAUAAUCAAUGCUCAAAAGGAAGAACAAGCUAAAAAAAUCAAAGACCAAAGAGUUGAUAAGGAUAUGAUGGAUGGCAUUCAACAUGUAUCGAGAAGGAAGACAAUCAAAACCAAACAACCUCAGAAACCAGGCAGAAACAUUUUACUGGCAGCAACAAGGAAAACAAAAUGCAAGGUCAUCUAAUGAACCAUUGUAGAAACAAAGCCAGCGAUAAUACAAUCAGUUCUCAAAAGGAAGAACAACCUAAAAAAAUCAAAGACCAAAGAGUUGAUAAGGAUAUGAUGGAUGAGUUGCAACCUGCCUCAAGAAGGAAGACAAUCAAAACCAAACAACCUCAGAAAUCACGCAACAACAUGUUACUGGCAGCAACAUGUAACUGGCAGCAACAAGGAAGGCAAAAUGCAAGGUCAUCUGAUGAACCAUUAUAGAAACAAAGCCAAUGAUAAUAUAAUCAAUGCUCAAAAGGAAGAACAAGCUAAAAAAGUCAAAGACCAAAGAGUUGAUAAGGAUAUGAUGGAUGACUUUCAACCUAUCUCUAGAAGAAAGACAAUCAAAACCAAACAACCUCAAAAAUCACGAAGCAACAUGUAACUGGAAGCAACAAGGAAGGCAAUACUGGUGUCUCCUUUUACAAAAGAAAAUGAGUGAAUCAUCAGAAAAUUGAGCACAAGUGUAACUGGCUCUAUUUAUGCAUACACCUUAGUCUCAUUAACUCAAUCAACUUCGGGAAAUAAUUAGUCAACUUGCCUACUAUCAUAGAGGAAAAAAAGGACUUCCAAAGAAACAGAGAAGGUUGAUUAGCCAAUUAUCACAGAUUUACAAUCCUAUAAUAUAGUCUUCAAGACACUAAUUAGCUAACAUAUUGUUCACAAAAAUAAACAUGUAUUAAACUUGUUUUAACUCAUAAUAGAAAGACAUUUAAGUUUCUUGUGAGUGUGAAACAGAAAAUGCCUUUUGAAGAACUGAAUCAUGAGUUGACCUAGAAGAAUGUGGAAGAUUUUGGCCUCUUAUAGCUUGUGCACUACUCGCAUCAUCAGGUUAAGCAAGGUUAGAUCCGACACCCCUGGUAUAUCUUGAACAUUCAAUCCAGGGUUGUUUUACAGCAAUUGACUAAAUAAAUGUCACAUUUCUUCUCUCAUUUCAUUCAUUUCUUCUUUUACAGAAGUGAUUUCAUUGGCAUGCUUUUAUUUUAGCUUGUUAGUUUCCUCAUCUUUCUUUAAAGAAAUUUUUAUCACUGAUCUACCAUAGCACCUAAGUCGACCAGGCUGCUCCUUUCCAAACACUGCCCUAAACGCAUCAUUAGUUGUUUCCCCGAAAUUUUGGCGAUUCUGAAGUUCAACCUAUUGAAUAAAAUUGACAUCCAUAUUAAAUAUAAGUACUACUUUAUGUCCACCUAAAAUGAGUUUAUGAUUCAUUAAGUUAACUUUAAUUGACAUCCCUUCCGAGCAAACUGUCCAGCGACUCAAGCAUUUUAAAAUAAAAUUAUCACCCUCUACCAACAAAUCAAUAGUCUUGUGAUAGAGAUCAAGAACUAAAAAGAUCUAACAAAUUUUCUUAGCAAAUAAUUCAGAGACAUCGACGAAGAACUGAUUUAUCACUGCAUGUGCAUGACAUUGGUAAAAGAUGCAGCAAGUAAUACAUGGAGAAAUAAACCAGCCUUUUUUCAAGGAAAUUCAUCAGACUGCAUUUAACUUUGUGUUGGCAAAGGAUAACAGGGAACUUUACUUCCAGUUAGCCAAUAAUUUUUUAUGUGCCAAUCCAAUUCAGAAAGUGUCAACCACCAGAUCCUUUAUUGUGCAGUAGCAACUGACCUUUGGUGCAUGUUCUUACUAUUGUUAGACUGAACUGGGCUAUGCCAUUCACUGUUCGAGAAGCCUACGUGAGCUGCAAUUCAAAGAAAGUUGAUAAAAACACCAAAAAAUAGCAUCCUCUCACGAAAAUAGUCCAUCAACUUGUUCAAAUAUCCUAAAUUUUGUAGCUCAUGUUACUUUCCUUUACUUAAUUAUAUAAUUGGUGUCCAUUCAGUAAACUAACAAAUUUACACUGCUUAGGUAGAAUGAAUGCUAAAAAUUUGUUCAAAUUUCCAUAAAUUUUCACUUCAUGAUACUUACCUCUACCUAGUUGUCACUCCCCAAGCCUACACCCUGGGUGGGACUGGCACUCGAGAACCAUUAUUGGCCUCAAGCGGACCCUUGGCCUGGCUUAACUCUUAGCAGAAGACUUACCCAUGAUAAAAUUCUUUAAAAAGUAAAUUGAACUGCUCAAUAGAUAACUUAGAAUGUAUUAAAUAACAGUCGACUUAGACAAGGUGGCAACUCAAAGUUCAACAUAAACCAAUAAUAAGAUAAUGACAAAUGAACUAACUAACUGUCUAUGAAGCCUCUAAUAACUGAGAUGGAUUUCGGGACAAGACCCCUCGAUCAUCCUAACAGCUAAAAACUACUAAACCAAUAUAAAUAGGGAUCCUCUAGAAAGCAAAGAGGCUCACCACAAGACUGUGAAUGCUCAACUAGAUCAAUGAAGCGCUCGAUGCUGAUCCUAGUUACUAGUAUCUACAUCAUAAAAAUGAUACAAGUCAAAUGGUGCCAGUACAUUAAAUGUAUGAGCAUGCGAGGGGAACUCUAAAACAAGACAUAAGCUUGAAAGGAACUGAAAGAACAUACUUGGGCUCAACUCAACUCAACUUAAUAUAAAGAAAAACUUUUCAAACCUGGAUAACAACUCUGUGUAUUUAGAAAUGUAAUAGUAACUCUGAAUGUAUGCAAAGAUACAAUUUAAACUCUGAAUGUAUAUAAAAAUACAAUUAACUCUGCGUAUAUAAGAAUACAAAAUACUGUUGUGGGAGUUUCUCUAAUCGACAACCAUCACUUAAGAGUUACUGUGAUGAUACAACGUUUUACCUCACGCUACUAGGGCCGUCCUAUACCUUGCCAUGGGUAUAGAACCUGACUACUAAGUGGAUCCACUAUUCUAUGCUAAAAAGCACUAAGGAAUCAUCUAAAAAGUAUGACCCUUUUUUCUACCCAUGGUGGCUACAUGGUUUAUGGGGGUUGGGAGUUGUCUGAACUCUCCCUCAUAUCGGUGCUCAAUACUACUCCCAAAAUAUGAUACUAGCUCUUAUGUUUAAAAAACAUAAACUCUGUGGUUUGAGAUAAUUACUCAAAAACUAGCCUGAAGGCUCUCUUGGAAAUCAGUGUUUCCUCUCUUGCUUAAUUGUGAAAGCAUUUACUCUUUAUUGAAAACUAGCUCAAAAGCGCUUUUGGAAAUAUCAAUUUCCUUUCUUGUUUAAAUGUGAAAACAUUUUACUCUUUGGGAAUACAUAGUCCCGAUAUACUCUUUUGAAGAAAUGAACUUCAAUCUUUACUCUUUCUCAACUCAAAACUCAGGUCUUAAAACAAAGUUAAAACAUUUGUAAAAGAGUUUUGGAAGACUCUAUGAACUUCUCUUGACUUGGCUCUUAACUUUCCUUGAAUUUAAAUUUAUGGAUUCAAGGAUUGUGAUUUGUGAUAGGAAAGAUCUCAUGAUGUUUAGGAGUGUUUUUAGACAGUUAAACAUGAGAAACAAUCAAGAAACCACUAUGUGAAAGCAAGUCCGUGACAUGGAGAUGCAUUUAUAUAUUUGGUCGCAAAAUAAAUUUUGAGGCAGAAUGGUUCGUGACCACUCCGUGACACGGAGAACAAUUUUGGGAAAAGGUGGGGCAGGUUCGCGACGCGGACGAGGGCACCAGAAUUUCCCGACUAUUUCCUUCUUCAUUUUCUAACCCCAAUUCACCUAAACUUGGUUCUUUUUCUCAAAUUCUCUUUAGAUUCAGAUACCCAUUAUAUGUACAAAAGAAUCUAACUCAAAACAACUCUAACAAUCGACCUUAAACUCUCAAGAACUCCUAAAUCUCAUCCCAAAUUCAAGAACGAAAGCAAUUCAAGAACACAACUCAAGAAUAUCAAAGUCUCAAUCUUUUAGGAUGAAAAUCAUACUGAAAUAAACAUGUUUGGCGCAUGGUUGAACGAACCCAACUCUAUGUGAACUCACAUACCUUGUAGGAUUGAAUCCUUGGCGAAAUCCGCACUCAAUUCCUCAAGAAAUCGAUGAAUCCUUGCUUUUUCUCCUCUUCUUUUCUCUUCUCUCAAAACCCUAACUCUUUUUUUAUGAAGCUUAAACUGAACCAAAUCAGUUUAGACCCCAACUUAAAUACCAAAAACGAAAUUAAGUAAUUGGGUAGGGAAAAGACCAUAAUACCCUUCUAAAAUCCAGUUUUGACUUUCCUUAUCUAGACAGCCCAACUUCAAAUGGGCAUAUAUCUCUCAUACGAACUCUAAACUGAGCAAACUCGGUGGAGUUGGAAAUAUAAUUCAAAGAUCGUUCCUACGGUAUCUUGUAGUACACCUAAAUCAUCCUGAGCUAAGAGUUAUGGUCGUUUGAAGUUGACCCAAAACUCAUAUAUAACUUAACUUUGUCAAACUUUCCAAAUUUGAUUAUUUCCAAAAACGGUUUCUUUCUAAUUC
rnacentral:lncRNA from 1 species